GGAUUUUGGGGAGGAGUAAAUCUAAAGAACUUGGCAAAGCUCUUGGGGCCUCUGCUCUCCCCCACAUGGUGACCCAAAGCAGCGGCCUCCUUGGACAAGUCAGAAGUCCCACCCUGUUCAGAUCACUUCCUUCCAUUUUGGACAGAGUCUCACUUCUGUUGCCUGGGCUAAAGUGCCAUGA